GACGAACGCUGGCGGCGUGCUUAACACAUGCAAGUCGAACGGAAAGGCCCUGCUUUUGUGGGGUGCUCGAGUGGCGAACGGGUGAGUAACACGUGAGUAACCUGCCCUUGACUUUGGGAUAACUUCAGGAAACUGGGGCUAAUACCGGAUAGGAGCUCCUGCUGCAUGGUGGGGGUUGGAAAGUUUCGGCGGUUGGGGAUGGACUCGCGGCUUAUCAGCUUGUUGGUGGGGUAGUGGCUUACCAAGGCUUUGACGGGUAGCCGGCCUGGGAGGGUGACCGGCCACAUUGGGACUGAGAUACGGCCCAGACUCCUACGGGAGGCAGCAGUGGGGAAUAUUGCACAAUGGGCGGAAGCCUGAUGCAGCAACGCCGCGUGCGGGAUGACGGCCUUCGGGUUGUAAACCGCUUUCGCCUGUGACGAAGCGUGAGUGACGGUAAUGUGUAAAGAAGCACCGGCUAACUACGUG
rnacentral:rRNA from 1 species